rnacentral:rRNA from 1 species
GACGAACGCUGGCGGCGUGCUUAACACAUGCAAGUCGAACGGAAAGGCCCUGCUUUUGCGGGGUGCUCGAGUGGCGAACGGGUGAGUAACACGUGAGUAACCUGCCCUUGACUUUGGGAUAACUUCAGGAAACUGGGGCUAAUACCGGAUAGGAGCUCCUGCUGCAUGGUGGGGGUUGGAAAGUUUCGGCGGUUGGGGAUCGACUCGCGGCUUAUCAGCUUGUUGGUGGGGUAGUGGCUUACCAAGGCUUUGACGGGUAGCCGGCCUGAGAGGGUGACCGGCCACAUUGGGCCUGAGGUACGGCCCAGACUCCUACGGGAGGCAGCAGUGGAGAAUAUUACACAAUGGGCGGAAGCCUGAUGCGACAGCGCCGCGUGCGGAAUGACGGCCUUCGGGUUGUAAACCGCUUUCGCCUGUGACGAAGCGUGAGUGACGGUAAUGGGUAAAGAAGCACCGGCUAACUACGUG